CCUACGGGUGGCAGCAGUGGGGAAUAUUGCGCAAUGGGCGAAAGCCUGACGCAGCGACGCCGCGUGAGGGAUGAAGGUCUUCGGAUCGGAAACCUCUUUCAGCAGGGAAGAACGGUCACUGUGCUAAUCAGCAGUGAAUUGACGUUACCUGCAAAGGAAGCACCGCCUAAAUCCGUGCGAGCAGCCGCGGUAGUUCGGAGGGUGCGAGCGUUAAUCGGAAUUACUGGGCGUAAAGCGGUCGUAGGCGGUAUGUCAAGUAAAGGGUGAAAUCCCCGCGCUCAACGUGGGAACUGCCUUUGAAACUGGCAAACUGGAGUGUGUGAGAGGAUAGUGGAAUUCCAGGUGUAGGAGUGAAAUCCGUAGAUAUCUGGAGGAACAUCAGUGGCGAAGGCGACUAUCUGGCACAUAACUGACGCUGAGGAGCGAAAGCGUGGGUAGCAAACAGGAUUAGAUACCCGGGUAGUC
rnacentral:rRNA from 1 species